UUUACAUACCCUCUUGGGUCCAAUGGAGGCAGUUGGUUGAAGUAGCAAGAUGUUGGCCUUUCUGGGUUUCUCUUUUGCUGUGGCUUCCUCACUGACCUUGGACUUUUAUAAGUAUGAUACAAAUCUACACUUGAAUAAGUAUGACUGUUACUCAUACUUGAACUUAUCUCAUUGCACCUCUUCUCAGCAGCUCUUCAUUUGAGAAAAUAUUUUUUCAGAUCAUAGACUAAAAAAUCAUACCAUCAAGGUGGCGGCACCAGGUGCCAGGAGGAAAAGGGUACUUGCUGUGUAUCCUGGGUCAGUAAUAUUGAAAACUGUCUUCUUCAGCUUCCUGUCCUUCUAUGUGUUGUGUCUCUUGUGACAGUUGUUUUGUCUUCAAGCCACUGACUUCUGGAAUUUGCAGAUUUUGCAAUCCAUGCAAAUGUGAAGAAAAGCUCUAUGUUACUGACCAUUGUUGUUGUUGUUUAUAGUGCAAAAUAAAAAUAGCAAAAAGGAAAAAAGAUCAAU
rnacentral:lncRNA from 1 species